ACAAAAUUCAACAUGCUCUUCCCAGCCACUCGCUUGUCCUCAUAAGCUGCUCAUGUGAGUGCUAGGUGUAGACAUUUCCCCUGUAGACCAUAGGGAUCCUGCUGGCCUAAAUCCAACUGAGAGAAGAGGCAGUUCUAGAGACUGAGAACAGAGAGACACAGGGUGUCUCAUGCCUCUGCUGGACUCGGACCCGAAGAUGAGCACCCCAUGGCUCAGAGAGGCUGAUACAUCACGGACAACCCUGUAGUCCUGGGAGCAUUUGGCUCAGGUUCAGUUCAACUAUGCUUCCUGUGGUAUCCUGAACAAUAUCUUUACCCUGAACCCAUGGGUCCUUUCAGUUAAACCUUUGGCAUUCACAUAAGAAGUCUGAGGUGUCACAGCUUUGGAGAUCCAGUGCCUUCUAUUUCCCAGGCAAGGACUACAUCUAGGGUCUUGUAGGAGUCCAAGUCUAUGUCAGUGGAGGUCUAGUCCCAUCACUCCCACUGAGAACUCAGACCUUAGCUAUUCCUGGAAGCAUCCAUCCUCACAUCCAUGCAAGUCUCCAUAGGCUCCAUCUUCUACUUAGCCUCCUUUGGCCCUGAACAAGAUUCUGAAGGGGAAGUAGGCCACUGCCUGAGUCUGCAACUGGAAGAGGGGUUGGGGUGUGUGGGGGUGCUGUCAGAUUGUGCAUGGGUCAAGAGGUGCUAGUAUUGUUUACUAGGUUCUGGGUGUCUGAUCCUAAUAAACUCUUGUUGCCACCUGCGCUGCCUGAUUUUUCCUGCCUGCCUCUGACAUGAGCUGCAGGUUGGGACAGAGCACCUCCUUCACCAAUCACCCCAGGUCACCCACCAACACCCCCUUAUGCCUUUGGUCUCUUGGAUAAUCCAAAAGGAGUCUGGCUAGCUCCCAG
rnacentral:lncRNA from 1 species